AAAAAGAACCCACAAAAGAUUUUAAGAAGUUGUGUGAAAAGAUUGAUGUCACUGAAAGCAAGAAAGGCAAUCUCAAGAAAACCACAGUCACCAGUAUCAGUGGCUUAGAGCUCAAAUCAGAAAGUGCUGGAAAAGCAGCCUUAAAAUUUAGCAACAUCAUUAUUAGUUAUCUUGGCUGGAGCAGUGUCAGAGGAAUGCUGGGGCAGAAGCCAGGACUUGAAGGAGGAUUUCGGAGUGGAGGGUAAGAACGUGGUUGUGGUGAGUAUGGACACCUGUUUCAAUAAACUUAACUGCAGCCAAAACAAGUCAGAUCAGGCAGCGAGUGGCAAGGUGCAUGGAAGCGAGGGAGGUAUUAUUUGAAGGAUAGAAGACACCGGGCUGGUUGAGCGCUGAUGGGAAAGAGCAGCAGCACGUGAAGCAGCAGGAGAGAGAAGGAACCUGCAGCAGAGCAGAGUCUAUCGGGCCACACAAGAGAUUAUUAGAGCUCGGAACUGGCCUUGUGAACGGGAAAUGUCUGACUGUGAAGGAGGGAAAGGAGGAAAUGAUGAGCGCCUCUGAAGGCUGGAAGAGGGACGUGAAGCAAGUCAGAAAGGGAGUCUGCGAGGGGACUUCUGGAAGAGUCUUCAUGCCACCAGGUCAUAACGGAACAUGGGGGAAAAGACAAGCCUCUUCCCUCUUCCAACCUGAGGACGUGAUGAACCUCUGCAGCCGUGUUGAGGACAGGAGGGAGUGACCGGCCCUAAGAACAAGCUGAGGACGGCAGCGCAGAAAAGUGGGAAGAAGCUGGGUCCUUCAUUACGUCUUUGAGCCAUUGAAUUAAUCAACUCCAGAAGCCCCUUUCUUCUAAAAUUGCAGUCAGAGAGGACCAAGUAGAGGAUCCAUGACCCUAGAAGAUCCUGAAGCCGCUAGAGAGGAGCCUCAGUCUGUGAAGGACUGUAUGGAUCAGGCCCAUUCGGAUCCCCAUUGGACUGUGAUAUCAAGGAGUCUGCAGGGCCACGUCUGCUCCCGGCCCACCAGGAGCCAGCCCCACAUUGCCUGUAUCAGUCAGCUGAGACUGCCAUAAACACCCCAACAGACUGGGCAGCUUAAACAACAGAAAUGUAUUUCUCACAGUUCUGGAGGCUGGAAGUCCAAGAGCAUGGUGUCACCAUGGUCAGUUUCUGGUGAGAGCCCUCUUCCUGGCUUGCAGAUGGUCCCCUUCUAUGUCCUUAUAUGGCCUUUCCUUGCUGCCUGUGGGGAGAGAUAGGAGGAGGAAAGA